rnacentral:sRNA from 1 species
GCCGUUCCGGUUCGAUCGGGAUACUCAUCAAAUUAUAAUUGAAAACCGGGUCAACUACUCUUGCCAAUGGCGGGCCACAACCCUGUUUAGGCAGGAAGCCGCAAGGCCGGUGGAUUACAAAAGCAGAGAGCACCCAAAUCUUCCAACAAAGGAGUUUUCAUCACAUCAUCGGGCGGUCCCU